AUUGAACUCUGGCGGCAUGCCUUACACAUGCAAGUCGAACGGUAACAGGUCUUCGGAUGCUGACGAGUGGCGAACGGGUGAGUAAUACAUCGGAACGUGCCCGAUCGUGGGGGAUAACGAAGCGAAAGCUUUGCUAAUACCGCAUAAGAUCUAAGGAUGAAAGCAGGGGACCGCAAGGUCUUGUGCGAACGGAGCGGCCGAUGGCAGAUUAGGUAGUUGGUGGGAUAAAAGCUUACCAAGCCGACGAUCUGUAGCUGGUCUGAGAGGACGACCAGCCACACUGGGACUGAGACACGGCCCAGACUCCUACGGGAGGCAGCAGUGGGGAAUUUUGGACAAUGGGCGCAAGCCUGAUCCAGCCAUGCCGCGUGCAGGAUGAAGGCCUUCGGGUUGUAAACUGCUUUUGUACGGAACGAAAAGACUCUGGUUAAUACCUGGGGUUCAUGACGGUACCGUAAGAAUAAGCACCGGCUAACUACGUGCCAGCCGCCGCCGUAACAC
rnacentral:rRNA from 1 species